rnacentral:rRNA from 1 species
AUUGAACGCUGGCGGCAGGCCUAACACAUGCAAGUCGAACGAGUGGCGGACGGGAGAGAAAUGUCUGGGAAACUGCCUGAUGGAGGGGGAUAACUACUGGAAACGGUAGCUAAUACCGCAUACCAUCGGAUGUGCCCAGAUGGGAUUAGCUAGUAGGUGGGGUAACGGCUCACCUAGGCGACGAUCCCUAGCGGGUCUGAGAGGAAGAACAGCCACACUGGACCUGAGCAACGGUCCAGACUCCGACGAGAGGCAGAAGUGGGGAAUAUUGAACAAUGAGCGCACGCUUGAUGGCGCUAUCCGGCAUAUAGGCAGAAGGUCUCGGGGUCGUAAAGGAUUUUCGUCGGGGAGGCGUUACCCACCGAAGAAGCACCGGAUAACUCCGUGCCAGCAGCCGCGGUAGUUC